GAUGAAGAACGCAGCGAAAUGCGAUACGUAAUGUGAAUUGCAGAAUUCAGUGAAUCAUCGAGUCUUUGAACGCACCUUGCGCCCUUUGGCCAUUCCGAAGGGCAUGCCUGUUUGAGUAUCAUGAACACCUCAACUCUUUAUGGUUUUCCAUGAUGAGCUUGGACUCUGGGGGUUUUGCUGGCUCACAGUCGGCUCCUCUAAAAUGAAUCAGCUUACCAGUGUUUGGUGGGUAUCAUGGGUGUGAUAACUAUCUACGCUUGUGGUUUUUCCACCAGGUAACCUUCAGCAGUGGAGGUUCGCUGGAGCUCAUAGAUGUCUCUCCUCAGUGAGGACAGCCCUUUGAAUGUUUGAUCUCAAAUCAGGUAGGACUACCCGCUGAACUUAAGCAUAUCAAUAAGCGGAGGA
rnacentral:misc_RNA from 1 species